rnacentral:rRNA from 1 species
CCUACGGGAGGCUGCAGUGAGGAAUAUUGGUCAAUGGACGAGAGUCUGAACCAGCCAAGUAGCGUGAAGGAUGACUGCCCUAUGGGUUGUAAACUUCUUUUAUAUGGGAAUAAAAUGUUCCACGUGUGGGAUUUUGUAUGUACCAUAUGAAUAAGGAUCGGCUAACUCCGUGCCAGCAGCCGCGGUAAUACGGAGGAUCCGAGCGUUAUCCGGCUUUAUUGGGUUUAAAGGGAGCAUAGGUGGAUUGUUAAGUCAGUUGUGAAAGUUUGCGGCUCAACCGUAAAAUUGCAGUUGAAACUGGCAGUCUUGAGUGCAGUAGAGGUGGGCGGAAUUCGUGGUGUAGCGGUGAAAUGCUUAGAUAUCACGAAGAACUCCGAUUGCGAAGGCAGUUCACUGGACUGCAACUGACACUGAGGCUCGAAAGUGUGGGUAUCAAACAGGAUUAGAUACCCUAGUAGUC